rnacentral:rRNA from 1 species
AACUGGAGAGUUUGAUCCUGGCUCAGAAUCAACGCUGGCGGCGUGCCUAACACAUGCAAGUCGAGCGCGAACGGGGACUUCGGUUCCUUAGUAGAGCGGCGAACGGGUGAGUAACACGUGGGUAAUCUGCCUCCGGGUGGGGAAUAACUCAGGGAAACUUGAGCUAAUUCCGCAUAACGUGGCCGAUCACAGGAUCGGCUACCAAAGCUGGGGACCCUUCGGGGCCUGGCGCCUGGAGAGGAGCCCGCGGCCAAUUAGCUUGUUGGUGAGGUAAUGGCUCACCAAGGCUCCGAUUGGUAGCCGGCCUGAGAGGGCGGACGGUCACACUGGAACUGAGACACGGUCCAGACUCCUACGGGAGGCAGCAGUGAGGAAUUUUCGUCAAUGGGGGAAACCCUGAACGAGCAACGCCGCGUGGAGGACGAAGACCUUCGGGUUGUAAACUCCUGUCGGACGGGACGAAAGUUAUCGAGGUUAAUACCCUUGGUAGUUGACGGUACCGUACGAGGAAGCCCCGGCUAACUUCGUGCCAGCAGCCGCGGUAAUACGAGGGGGGCAAGCGUUGUUCGGAAUUACUGGGCGUAAAGGGCGCGUAGGCGGUCUGACAAGUCUUCCGUGAAAGCCCACGGCUCAACCGUGGAACUGCGGGGGAAACUGCCAGACUUGAGUCCGGGAGGGGAGAGUGGAAUUCCCAGUGUAGCGGUGAAAUGCGCAGAUAUUGGGAGGAACACCGGAGGCGAAGGCGUCUCUCUGGACCGGUACUGACGCUGAGGCGCGAAAGCCAGGGGAGCGAACGGGAUUAGAUACCCCGGUAGUCCUGGCCGUAAACGAUG